GUGAAAUUGGUAGACACGCUGCUCUUAGGAAGCAGUGCUAGAGCAUCUCGGUUCGAGGUGCUAGAGCAUCUCGGUUCGAGUCCGAGUGGCGGCA
rnacentral:tRNA from 1 species